UUAACCUGCCCACUGAUUUAUUGAAGGGCCGCAGUAAUUUGACUGUGCAAAGGUAGCAUAAUCAUUAGUUUUUUAAUUAAAAGCUUGUAUGAAGGGUUGGACGAGGUAAAUUCUGUCUCUAAAUAAUUUAUUUUAGAAUUUAAUUUUUAAGUUAAAAAGCUUAGAUAUAUUUAAAAGACGAGAAGACCCUAUAGAUCUUUAUAUUAUAUUUAUUAAUUUGGUUAAAGAUUGAUUUAUUUUUUAAGUAAAUAUAUUAUUUUAUUGGGGUAAUAAAAAGAUUUAAGAAAUUCUUUUUUUAUUUAUACAUUGAUAGAUGAUUUUAUGAUCCAUUAUUAUUGAUUAAAAGAUUAAGUUACCUUAGGGAUAACAGCGUAAUUUUUUUUGAGAGUUCAUAUCGAUAAAAAAGUUUGCGACCUCGAUGUUGGAUUAAAAAUUAUUUUAGGUGUAGAAGCUUGAAAAUUUGGUCUGUUCGACCAUUAAAUUUUU
rnacentral:rRNA from 1 species